CUACGGGUGGCACCAGUGAGGAAUAUUGCACAAUGGGGGGAACCCUGAUGCAGCAACGCCGCGUGGAGGAUGACGCAUUUCGGUGUGUAGACUCCUUUUAUAUGUCAAGAAAAUGACGGUAGCAUAUGAAUAAGCACCGGCUAACUCCGUGCCAGCAGCCGCGGUAAUACGGAGGGUGCAAGCGUUACUCGGAAUCACUGGGCGUAAAGGACGCGUAGGCGGGUUGGAAAGUCAGGUGUGAAAUCCUACAGCUUAACUGUAGAACUGCACUUGAAACUUCUAAUCUAGAGUAUGGGAGGGGGAGAUGGAAUUAGUGGUGUAGGGGUAAGAUCCGUAGAUAUCACUAGGAAUACCUAAAGCGAAGGCGAUCUCCUGGAACAUUACUGACGCUAAGGCGUGAAAGCGUGGGGAGCAAACAGGAUUAGAUACCCCAGUAGUC
rnacentral:rRNA from 1 species